rnacentral:rRNA from 1 species
GAUGAACGCUGGCGGCGUGCUUAACACAUGCAAGUCGAACGGAAACAUAUUGAAACCUAGUGAUAUAUGUUUUAGUGGCGGACGGGUGAGUAACGCGUGGGUAACCUGCCUUGUACUGGGGGAUAACAGUUAGAAAUAGCUGCUAAUACCGCAUAAGACCACAGUUUCGCAUGAAACAGAGGUAAAACUCCGGUGGUACAAGAUGGACCCGCGUCUGAUUAGCUAGUUGGUGAGGUAACGGCUCACCAAGGCGACGAUCAGUAGCCGGCCUGAGAGGGUGAACGGCCACAUUGGGACUGAGACACGGCCCAA